UGUGUGUGUGUGUGUGUGUGUGUGUGUGUGUGUGUAAUAUUUACAUGUGACUUAAUAUAUUUCCCUCAAUUGUAUACAGGUGAGAACUAUAGAAAACAUGGACAAAAUAUGUAAGCAAAUAUGGAAGAAUAAUAUACUGCAUAUAUCCCCGGAAAAAAAGUUCAGAUAAAAGCCAGAUAUGGAUUUUAACAAAACCUGAUAUAAUCAGAUAUAACGUUAUAUAUGAUUUAGAUCUAUUGGAUAAGCAUGUAUAUAAUGCCAUAUUGUUUCCUCGUUUCAUACUUGAGUUUGUCUAUUUACAUAUUUUUGUACUCUAUGUUUGCUGUUAGACUGAGAGCUCUCUGUUCUGUUCGCCCUGUGUGUAUACGCAAGUUGUAUUGAGUAAAGUUCUGUAUAAUUAACCUGUUCUUUUAGUGAACCCUUUGUCCACUCCCUUACAACUGCCACUCAAGAUUUGUCCAUAUAUAAUCAUGUAUAAUCAUAUAUAAUUGUAUAUAUGAUUAUAUAUUAUUAUAUAUCUGACAGAUCUGAAUCAUAUAUAACAUUAUAUCUGAUUAUAUCUGAUCAGAUCUUGACAAAAUCCAUAUCUGGCUUUUGUCUGAACUUUUUUUUCCCGGAUCUUCAUACACAGAAUUGUAUUUUUUAGUACAUACUUUUUGAGAAUAUUUUACAUAAACAAAAUUGAGGAAGUUAGCAAUCUAGUAAUAUAAAAAAAUGUGUGUAUGUGUGCGCAUGUGUAUGUGCGCGCGGAUGUGUUUAUGUGUGCGUUUGUGCAUGCAUGUGUGUAUGUUUGUGUAUAUAUGUGUAAUUGUCAUUUGUUCUUAUAAUUAUUUAAUCUUACAACCCCGAUAGAUUAUGAGAUUAAGGGGGAAUUACAUGAAAAAAAAAAUUUUUAGCCAUUUUUUAUUGCAUAUUUUUAAAAUAUACAUUUGAAAAUAUUUGUGUGAAGUUAGAAGGAUAUCGAAAAAUUGACGAAGCAGGAGCGGUUUGAAUACAAAGGCGCGCUGGCCUGAAGUAUCGUUACUAAUUGUAAGUCGCGCGAAGGUCCUCUUUGCUUAUUAUUUGGACGAACAGAUCAGACGUCACGUACAGAGAAGAAAGAGUACGAGAUUGAGAAAUGCUAAAAAAAUAAUGGAAGCAUCGGAGGCAAAGGAGUUGGAAACCUAAGACAAAACAAACCUAAGACAGACAAAACUAUCCAUAAUCUCACGAAAUAUUAUGGUUAUUAGACGGCACUCCAAACUCGAUGGAAGAUAUGAGAAUUAAAAUUUGGACCACUUAUUUUCAUAAAAGUUCCAGUAACACCAAGCCUCAGCAUAUGCAAUGUUCGCUAGGUUCAUCAAGCUGGUGCGCGUGGCGACGCGCUGAGACGCAGGAAACUUUAGAUGAUUUUAAAAACGAUUACUAGCCUUUAAAAAAUGAAAAAAAUUCUCGAAGUAAUAAAGUCAACGUACGAGAAUUUCUCAAGAGACGACCUUCUGAUGAGAUGUUUGGGUGUAAACACGCAAAAUAAUAACGAAAGUCUCAAUGCGAUGAUUUGGCACUUCGUACCAAAACAUAUACACUUAUGGACGUGAAAAUCGGCAGAAGAGCGGAGAUGUUUGCACUUUAUAAGACCACGAACGUAUUAAUCGCGUGGAGCGUCGAUUCUCUAUUGAAUCAGAGGGUUAGAUCCGAAAGCUGAGAGACAAGUGGCCUCUGGAGAACUUUUUGAGGAAGAUGAAGACUCAUUUUAUGCACCUACAAUGGCUGAUUGAUCAAUAGUGAGAGGCUCGGAAUUAUGUCGACAGCAAACAUAUAACUCGCAAAUGAAUGACUGCAUUUUUAUCUAUAAUUACAAAGUGGAUCGAUUCUUGCGCUUCAAUAAAAUUUAUUUUAUACUUUGAACAUUAAUGAAUACACUGUGCAAAUUUCAAAGCUAUUGAUUCUACUGAUCCUGUUAUUGAUCUUACUGUUAAAAAAAUUCGUAAAAAUAGCCUGGAAAACGGCCUUCCGCAUGUAAUUCCCCCCUUAAGAAAACUCGCAGUGAAUCAUGAGUAAUAAAAUGUCAUGAAUAAAUAUGUAAGUCUCUGGGUCGGAGUAUCAAUUUAUAAAAGUUUCUUCUUUACAUGUGUAAUUUUGAAGGCAUUAGGCAGACAAUCUCUGUUACUUAUGUUUGCUCUGAUUGCUGCUUGUAUGUAAAAGGAUUUUUAGCUAUUUGUUUUUAUCGGUGGCGAUACAUGAGCCCGUAGUUUGUGAAACUUUGACGCCUUGUUAGUAUUCUUUCUAUUUUAACUAUUCUUUUGUUUACAAAAUGCAUGUUUUCCUUUCAUACAUAUGUGUGUGUGUGCGUUUGAGUGUAUGUGUAAGGUAAUAUGUGUAUAUAUAUAUAUAUAUAUAUAUAUAUAUAU